AGAUUUGCACUUUGAUAAAUGCCAUCCUGGAGCUCCUAGAAACCAGUGCCUUGAGUAAAGCCAGCCUGGAAGAGAAAAGAUCUAAGCCCAGCUGUGACUGUGUCUGUCACUUGAGUUUCUUAAUAAGACCCUACAUGACCUGAAUUACCUGAGUCCCUUCUCUAAGGAGAAAUGAUAUCUUAUAAUAAUGGACUCUAUCAUUUGUAUGAACUUUC
rnacentral:lncRNA from 1 species